UACGGAGGGGGCUAGCGUUGUUCGGAAUUACUGGGCGUAAAGCGCACGUAGGCGGUUUGUUAAGUCGGAUGUGAAAUCCCUCGGCUCAAUUGAGGAAGUGCAUCCGAAACUGGCAAGCUUGAGUACGAAAGAGGGUCGCGGAAUUCCCGGUGUAGAGGUGAAAUUCGUAGAUAUCGGGAGGAACACCGGUGGCGAAGGCGGCGACCUGGGACGAUACUGACGCUGAGGUGCGAAAGCAUGGGGAGCGAACAGG
rnacentral:rRNA from 1 species